UGCCGCGGGAAUUCGAUUUCUGUUUGAUCCCGGCGGAGGUCACUGCUAUCAGUAUUCGACUAAGCCAUGCGAGUCAAAUGUUUUUCGUAAACAUGGCGUACUGCUCAGUAACACGUGGAUAAUCUGCCCUAAGGUCAGGUAUAACUCCGGGAAACUGGUGAUAAUCCCUGAUAUAUCAUAGAAACUGGAAUGUUCUGUGAUUAAAAGCUCCGGCGCCUUAGGAUGAAUCUGCGGUCUAUCAGGUUGUAGUGGGUGUAGAGUACCUACUAGCCUACGACGGAUACGGGUUGUGAGAGCAAGAGCCCGGAGAUGGAUUCUGAGACAUGAAUCCAGGCCCUACGGGGCGCAGCAGGCGCGAAAACUUUACAAUGCGGGAAACCGCGAUAAGGGGAUACUGAGUGCCAGCAUAUUAUGUUGGCUGUCCACCUGUAUAAACAGCAGGUGUUAGCAAGGGCCGGGCAAGACCGGUGCCAGCCGCCGCGGUAACACCGGCGGCCCGAGUGGUGGCCACUAUUAUUGGGUCUAAAGGGUCCGUAGCCGGUUUGAUCAGUCUUCCGGGAAAUCUGACAGCUCAACUGUUAGGCUUCUGGGGGAUACUGUCAGACUUGGGACCGGGAGAGGUAAGAGGUACUACAGGGGUAGGAGUGAGAUCUUGUAAUCCUUGUGGGACACCAGUGGCGAAGGCGUCUUACCAGAACGGGUCCGACGGUGAGGGACGAAAGCUGGGGGCACGAACCGGAUUAGAUACCCGGGUAGUCCCAGCCGUAAACGAUGCUCGCUAGGUGUCUGGGACGGUGCGACCGUUUCAGGUGCCGCAGGGAAGCCGUGAAGCGAGCCACCUGGGAAGUACGGCCGCAAGGCUGAAACUUAAAGGAAUUGGCGGGGGAGCACUACAACGGGUGGAGCCUGCGGUUUAAUUGGACUCAACGCCGGAAAACUCACCUGGGGCGACAGCAAUAUGUAGGUCAGGCUGAAGGUCUUACCUGAAUCGCUGAGAGGAGGUGCAUGGCCGUCGUCAGUUCGUACUGUGAAGCAUCCUGUUAAGUCAGGCAACGAGCGAGACCCCAAUCACUAGUGAAUUC
rnacentral:rRNA from 1 species